AGUGGUUCUCAACAGUUCAACAG
rnacentral:miRNA from 1 species